AUACGGCGGAUCCGAGCGUUAUCCGGAUUUAUUGGGUUUAAAGGGAGCGUAGGCGGACUAUUAAGUCAGCUGUGAACGUUUGCGGCUCAACCGUCAACUUGCAGUUGAUACUGGUCGUCUUGAGUGCAGUAGAGGUAGGAGGAAUUCGUGGUGUAGCGGUGUAAUGCUUUGAUAUCACGAAGAACUCCGAUUGCGAAGGCAGCUUACUGGACUGUAACUGACGCUGAUGCUCGAAAGUGUGGGUAUCAAACAGGAUUAGAUACCCUGGUAGUCCACACAGUAAACGAUGAAUACUCGCUGUUUGCGAUAGACGGCAAGCGGCCAAGCGAAAGCAUUAAGUAUUCCACCUGGGGAGUACGCCGGCAACGGUGAAACUCAAAGGAAUUGACGGGG
rnacentral:rRNA from 1 species